AGUAACGGCGAGUGAACAGGGAGAAGCCCAAAUUUGUAAUCUGGCACUUUUUACAGGUGUCCGAGUUGUAAUUUGUAGAACUGCUAUCCGUACUGGACCAUGUACAAGUCUGUUGAAAAGCAGCAUCAUUGAAGGUGAAAAUCCUGUAGAUGAUAUGGACUACCAGUAUAUUUGUGAUGCGGUUUCUAAGAGUCGAGUUGUUUGGGAAUGCAGCUCAAAGUGGGUGGUAAAUUCCAUCUAAGGCUAAAUAUGAGUGAGAGACCGAUAGCAUACAAGUACCGUGAGGGAAAGAUGAAAAGAACUUUGAAAAUAGAGUUAACAGUACGUGAAAUUGCUGAAAGGGAAACGUUUGAAGUUAGUUUUGUAUUCGUUGGAUCAGCUUCGCAAGGAGUGUAUUCCGAUGAUAGGCAAGUCAACAUCAAUCUAUGAGUGUUGGAUAAGGGUUUUGAGAACGUAGCAAUUCAGUUGUGUUAUAGCUCGAGACUUGGAUACGAUGCUUUGGAUUGAGGAACGCGUAGUAAGCUUUGAGCGGAUUCGAAAGGAUCUCCUUACUAUG
rnacentral:rRNA from 4 species